UACGUAGGGGCAAGCGUUGUCCGGAUUUAUUGGGCGUAAAGAGCGUGUAGGCGGCCAUACAGGUCCGUUGUGAAAACUCGAGGCUCAACCUCGAGACGUCGAUGGAAACCGUAUGGCUAGAGUCCGGAAGAGGAGAGUGGAAUUCCUGGUGUAGCGGUGAAAUGCGCAGAUAUCAGGAAGAACACCCGUGGCGAAGGCGGCUCUCUGGGACGGUACUGACGCUGAGACGCGAAAGCGUGGGGAGCGAACAGG
rnacentral:rRNA from 1 species